AGGGAACGUACCCUUUUGGUUACGGAACAAACCCAGGGAAACUUAGGGCUAAUAACCCGAUAAGUCCGUAAGGAGAAAGAUUUAUCGCCAAAGGAUCGGCCCGCGUCUGAUUAGCUAGUUGGUAGGGUAAUGGCCUACCAAGGCUACGAUCAGUAGCUGGUCUGAGAGGAUGAUCAGCCACAUUGGGACUGAGACACGGCCCAAACUCCUACGGGAGGCAG
rnacentral:rRNA from 1 species